rnacentral:snoRNA from 1 species
UCGCAUGUAGAAAUGUCUGCUCCUCAUUCCGUGGGAGCAGGAAUACAUUCAUAACAUGCCACAUUCAAAAAGGAGUUCUCAGGGCUGCCAACCUAACAGUAAAGGUUGAGUGGUAGUAUAUUUCUCCAACAUAA